rnacentral:rRNA from 1 species
AUGAAAGCAGUUAAACUGGGAUACAAAUGGUCUGUUGGGAAUGGUAGAUCUGUUAGGUUUUGGGAGGAUAUUUGGUUCGGUAACUCCCCACUUGCCACCCAGUUCUGGGAUUUGUAUUGUAUAGUUAAUGAUAAAAACAAAACCAUUGCAGAUACCUGGGAUGGAGAUAUUCUAAAAAUUUCCUUUAGAAGGAAUUUUGAUGAGGUGUUAAUGCAACAAUGGUUUGAUCUAGAAUCCUUUGCCAAAUCGAUUACUUUUACUGACCAGGAAGAUAAUUUGAUUUGGCAAUAUGAAUCUAGAGGCAUCUAUUCCUCUAAGUCUUUGUAUGCUAUUAUUAACUUUAGAGGGGGUGCAACCUAUUUACACGCCUGUGGUGUGGAGAUUGAAAGUACCACCCAAGGUGCAGGGUUUUCUUUGGUUGUUUUCACAGAAUAA